rnacentral:misc_RNA from 1 species
CUAUGCUCGGAGGUAUUCGAAUCCCCCGGUCGGAUGUUGUUGCUUGUGCCUCGUACCUCAGUGUCGGCAUCAGCAUUGUCCCAAAGAACGGCCAGUUGUCCCAGUUUUCGUGUCUCGGUGCUCAUGUGUCCCUGUCACGGGGCUGGCUUGGAAACAUCGAUAGCGCCCGCUCAUCUACUACUAACGUUGUCGCGGGCGUGGCGUUAUCGAUGUUCGAUCUCUCGUGCGCGGAAUGCCCAUCGGCGCGGUGGUUCACCGAACCCCGCUAAAUAGACCCUCGAUGAAAAGUCGUCCGAUGCAAUCUUGAGCGACCAUCGUGCCUGCGAAUGUGUUUGCCGCCGAGAAGGCGCAGCGCAUGCAGUGCCGAUGUCGUACGGGAACGCUACCUGGUUGAUCCUGCCAGUAGUCAUAUGCUUGUCUCAAAGAUUAAGCCA